UGCACUUUAGGCAAUCCACUCGGAGUACAUCCAGCCCCCGUCACCAACCGGCCGAGGCACUGGGUUUCCUGCAAAUGCAAGUCCUGUGGAAGUAUUACAGGAGUCUGUGAUGAUGAAGCCUUCAACUUUUCUACUUCAUGGUCCCAUCCUGGCAGCCCUCAGGAACGACCAAGGAGUUGCGGUGUGAUGACGGUGUCAGCCAUCGAGCAGGCCUGAAGCGUGCGGCCCGAGGAGCCGGGCCUUCACAGGAGAACGACUAGGAGACAACAGCCUGGUGUCAGCAGGGACUUCCCAGACAGCGGGUCCGCUUUCUUUCCACCCAGCACGGAUCGGCACGCCCACCUGUCCGAGAGAUAAGUAGAGAGCUACGACCCAGAGAGGGGAUGACAGUGGCGUCUGGGUCACAACCCACGGGGAGGGGAUUUCGAUUUGGCUUUGGAGACGAGGAUGUCCAAGUAAUGGCCUCUUAGGCCCUGUAAAGGGAAAGUAUCGCUUUUGAUCAGAGUGCCAAGGUGCACAGGGCAGAGCAGUCCCGGUGUGUGUCGUGUCAUUUGUCUAUCGUGCAUUCUGUGUUGUUUGUAUAUGUCAUGUCUUUUACCUCAGGCCUUUGAGGGGCCUAUCAGAAACCAUUCUUGGCAUCUGUGAUCUGCGUUCUUUAUUCUGGCACCAAUGCCAUAGAACUUUUGACUUAGGAGCUCAGACUGCCAUCAGACUCGCAUCUCUUCUUUAGUAGCAUCCACUCAGAUGUCUUUUCAGGUCUUGUUCUGAGCUGUAUGGACAGCUACGCCCCACAAGGAUCCAUUACGGCAGGUUAGGACUUGUCAGAAUGCGAGCUUAGGCAGAGGAUUCUGACCGUAGGAUUCCCAGGCAUCCAUCUUGGCAGUUCUUGGAAUAAAUCAUUCAGUUAGCAUCUUCUUCCUCCAGGCUUCUCUGAGCCUCAUCAGCUCUCCAUCGGUCUCACCUCGGUCAUCUCAUUUUGAAUUCUCUCGGUCCUUGCAGUCAUUUUCCUUGCCAAGAGAUUUCUGUGUGUGUUGUGUCCCCCUUGUUUGUCACGUCCCGUCCUGUGUCACGGGUGUCUGCACGCAUUUGUGCCGGAGCCGCUCUGCCCUGCCGCAUAGCCUGGUGCAGUAGGAGAAGUCCCAGGGCCUUGAAGUUUGUAAUGUGGGGUGUGGUUGUACUCUAGAUGGCAUUUGUAGAUGGACACAAGAUGUUUGCAGCUGGGAAGUUAUCCUGCAGACCUUUGACGUUUGUUCU